GGCGCCUUAGCGAAGAGGUUAUCGUACUCCCUUUGGGGCUAUUACUACCAUGGGAGAGGUCAGGGGUUCGAAUCCCCUAGGUGCCC